GAAAACGCGGUCAAAGGCAGCAUCAGAGUUAGGGCAUAAACCAAUGCCAAAGUACUGGAAAAAAGUUUCUUAAUAACCAUAGCGAUCUCCUCAGAUGCAAGGCCAUGAAAUUAGCCACCUGCGUAUUUUUUUAUGCAAUUUAAAUGCCAGCGGCUAAGCUUUAAGACAACCAGUCUAACGGAUUGACCGCUUUUCCUCUUUGUCUUAUUUCAAAGUAUAGACCGUUUUGCUUAAUUCCACCGGUAUGGCCU
rnacentral:ncRNA from 1 species